CGUGUAGGCGGGAAUGUAAGCCGGGCGUGAAAUCCCUAGGCUCAACCUAGGAACUGCACUCGAAACUGCGUUUCUUGAGUAUCGGAGAGGAAAGCGGAAUUCCUGGUGUAGAGGUGAAAUUCGUAGAUAUCAGGAGGAACACCAGUGGCGAAGGCGGCUUUCUGGACGGUAACUGACGCUGAGACGCGAAAGCGUGGGGAAGCAAACA
rnacentral:rRNA from 1 species